GCAACUCGCACACAAGGUCACGUGUCAUCGACGCGCCGGUUUUGCGCAUCUCUUGAUUUCUGAUCGGAAACUGUCGCGUCGUUUCGUGCUCGGCUGCGGCAUGCGCUAUCGAUAGUUUGCAGCCAGUUUUGUGCGGAUCGCUAGUUAAUCUAGGCGUGAUUUGACUGACUCGUAUUGUUUGUUCAGACUUCUGCUUUCAAAAUUUACAAAAUAUUUGAUCAUCAAUCGACUAUUUAAUUGUAACUACUAUAGUAAUGUUAUUUAUUAUUUGCGCGUUUAAUUUACAAAAGUGGUUGAUAUCGCGUUUCGUGUGCAUACUUGUCGGUCGCCAAAUGAAGUGGAUACAAAAUGGCUCCCAUGCAGAUUAAUUAAUUAUUAUCCUUGUCACUUGCUGUGCCUUGGUGACUGAUGCGCACAACAAUUGCAAUUACUUUCGAGUUGCGAUGCCCGAGUCCCGAGCUAAAUUAGAAUUCGAAUAUGAUUCUCUUCGUCGGUCGACUCCCGAUUUAAAAUAAAAUAAAUAUUGACACCCCUUCCCGCAUUUCCCCUUAACAAUGUAAUUUAUUUCACAGAUUUUAUCAUCUUCAACAAUAGUCCUGAGUGUUGCAACGAGUAAAAUACUGGUAUGUAGUAUGUGUAACUAAGUGUUUGUUUUGUACUUAUCCCCACGUGCUGGUAAUAUGUACGGCUUUUUAAUCAUUGAACGCGAGCUAGGCGUCUAGAGUUGUAGAAAUAAAUUCUCCGUCGGGUUGUAUUUGUUAGCGGUAGAAGUGACUCGGUUCAGGGUACCUUACAAGGCCAGCGGUAAACGUGACUCGUGUUCAGGGCACCGUAUGAACCCGGCGAUAAUUUGCAUGAAAAAAAUCACCCUUUUUCACGAAAUGUUAUUUUUUCGUGUUUGCGCGCGAUCUAGGCGGCUCACUAAUUUCAACGUGGCGUCUAUAGAUGCGGAAUUAAAUUCUCCGUCGGGAUGUAUUUGUUUGUUGCAGGAAUUCGACCUGCAACCCGCGAAAAUUUGCAUAAAAGUGUGAUUUUUGUCACCCUUUCUCGUGAAAUGUUUGUAUUUUUUCGUGUUUGCGCGCGAUCUAGGCGGCUCACUAUUGUCAGCGCGGCGUCUAGAGAUGCGGAAUUAAAUUCUUCGUCGGGUGGUAUUUGCUUGUUGCUGGAAUUCGUCCUGCCACUCGCAAAAAUUAGCAUAAAAGGGUGAUUCUUGUCACCCUUUCUCGUGAAAUGUUUGUAUUUUUUCGUGUUUGCGCGCGAUCUAGGCGGCUCACUAUCGUCAGCGCGGCGUCUGCAGAUGCGGAAUUAAAUUCUCCGUCGUUUUGUAUUUGUUUGUAGCAGGAAUUCGGCCUUCAACCCGCGAAAAUUUGCAUAUAAGGGUGAUUUUUGUCACUCUUUCUCGUGAAAUGUUUGUAUUUUUUCAUGUUUGCGCGCGAUCUAGGCGGCUCACAAUCAUCAGCGCGGCGUCUAUAGAUGCGGAGUUAAAUUCUUCGUCGGAUGGUAUUCGUUUGUUGCAGAAAUUCGGCCUGCAACCCGCAAAAAUUUGCAUAUAAGGGUGAUUUUUGUCACCCAUUCUCGUGAAAUGUUUGUAUUUUUUCGUGUUUGCGCGCGAUCUAGGCGGCUCACUAUCGUCAGCGCGGCGUCUACAGAUGCGGAAUUAAAUUCUUCGUCUGGUGGUAUUCGUUUGUUUCAGAAAUUCGGCCUGCAACCCGCGAAAGUUUGCAUAAAAGGGUGAUUUUUGUCACUCUUUCUCGUGAAAUGUUUGUAUUUUUCGUGUUUGCGCGCGAUCUAGGCGGCUCACAAUCGUCAGCGCGGCGUCUAUAGAUGCGGAAUUAAAUUCUUCGUCGGAUGGUAUUCGUUUGUUGCAGAAAUUCGGCCUGCAACCCGCAAAAAUUUGCAUAUAAGGGUGAUUUUUGUCACCCAUUCUCGUGAAAUGUUUGUAUUUUUUCGUGUUUGCGCGCGAUCUAGGCGGCUCACUAUAGUCAGCGCGGCGUCUACAGAUGCGGAAUUAAAUUCUUCGUCUGGUGGUAUUCGUUUGUUGCAGAAAUUCGGCCUGCAACCCGCGAAAAUUUGCAUAUAAGGGUGAUUUUUGUCACCCUUUCUCGUGAAAUGUUUGUAUUUUUUCGUGUUUGCGCGCGAUCUAGGCGGCUCACUAAUUUUAACGUGGCGUCUACAGAUGCGGAAUUAAAUUCUCCGUCGUUUUGUAUUUGUUUGUUGCAGGAAUUCGGCCUGCAACCCGCGAAAAUUUUCAUAAAAGGGUGAUUUUUGUCACCCUUUCUCGUGAAAUGUUUGUAUUUUUUCGUGUUUGCGCGCGAUCUAGGCGGCUCACUAUCGUGAGCGCGGCGUCUACAGAUGCGGAAUUAAAUUCUUCGUCGGGUGGUAUUUGUUUGUUGCUGGAAUUCGACCUGCAACCCGCGAUAAUUUGCAUAAAAGGGUGAUUUUUGUCACCCUUUCUCGUGAAAUGUUUGUAUUUUUUCGUGUUUGCGUGCGAUCUACGCGGCUCACUAUCGUCAGCGCGGCGUCUACAGAUGCGGAAUUAAAUUCUCCGUCGUUUUGUAUUUGUUUGUUGCAGGAAUUCGACCUGCAACACCUUGUAUAGUUGUUUCCAUUUUCCAUCAGCUAGAAAAUGAGCUGUUUGCUUAUUUCUGUAUCCCGGUAGGACAUUAUUACGUGGUAUUUGCUUACAUAUGCGUGGCUAUGCAUGUCGUAAGUCAACAUGGCGGCACGUAUUUGGUUGACUUAUAAAAUCUUAACAUGUAUUCUAUUGUUAAUAAAGAAACAGUAAAAUAUA